GGUCCGUUGGUGUAGUUGGUUAUCACGUCAGUCUAACAUGGCUCCCCAUCGUGGGUUCAAGGGAUCACUGAAGGUCUGCGGUUCAAGUCCGUGACGGAUCA